ensembl:lncRNA
GGGGGUGUCGUGACAUGGGGAGGUCGUGACAGGGACGUCGGGAUGUGUCGUGACAUGGGGCGGUCGGGAGGUGGGGAUGUCGUGACAGGGAUGUUGGGAUAUAGCAUGACAUGUGGAGGUCGGGAUAUGCGGAUGUCGUGACAUGGGGCAGUCGGGAGGUGGGGAUGUCGUGACAUGGGGAUGUUCUGAUAUGGGGAUGUCGGGAUACAGCGAUGUCGGGAGGUGGGGAUGUCGUGACAUGGGGAGGUCGGGAGGUGGGGAUGUCGUGACAGGGAUGUCGGGUUAUGUCAUGACAUGGGGAGGUCGGGAGGUGGGGAUGUCGUGACGUGGGGAUGUCGGGAUAUAUCAUGACAUGGAGAGGUUGGGAGGUGGGGAUGUCGUGACAUGGGGAUGUUCUGAUAUGGGGAUGUUGGGAUAUGGCGAUGUCGUGACAUGGGGAUGUCGUGACAUGGAGAUGUCGGGAGGUGGGGAUGUCGUGAUAUGGGGAGGUUGGGAUAUAUCAUGACAUGGGGAGGUCGGGAGGUGGGGAUGUCAUGACAUGGGGAUGUUCUGAUAUGGGGAUGUUGGGAUACGGCGAUGUCGGGAUAUGUAGAUGUCGUGACAUGGAGAUGUCGGGAGGUGGGGAUGUCGUGACAUGGGGAUGUCGGGAUAUGUUGCGACAUGGGGCAGUCGGGAGCUGGGGAUGUCAUGACGUGGAGGUUGGGAUAUGCGGAUGUCGUGACAUGGAGAUGUUGGGAGGUGGGGAUGUCGUGACAUGGGGAUGUCGGGAUAUGGGAAUGUUCCAAUAUGGGGAUGUCGGGAGAUGGCGAUGUCGUGACAUGGGGAUGUCAUGACAUGUGGAGAUGUCAGGAUAUGCGGAUGUCGUGACAUGGAGAUGUCAGGAGGUGGGGAUGUCGUGACAUGGGAAGGUCGUGACAUGGGGCGGUCGGGAGAUGGGGAGAUUGGGAUAUGUGGAUGUCGUGACAUGGGGAGAUCAUGACAUGGGGAGGUUUGACAGGAGGAUGUCGUGACAUGGGGAAGUCGGGAGGUGGGGAUGUCGUGACAUGGGGAUGUUCCGAUAUGGGGAUGUCGUGACGGGGGAUAUCGUGACAUGGGGAGGUUGUGACAGGGAUGUGGGGAUAUGUCAUGACAUGGGGAAGUCGGGAGGUGGGGAUGUCGUGACAUGGGGAGGUCAUAACGGGAGGAUGUCGUGACAUGGGGAUGUCAGGAGGUGGGGAUGUCGUGACAUGGAGAUGUUGGGACAGGAGCAUGUCAUGACAUGGGGAAUAUCGGGACAUGGGGAUGUCAGGAUGUGGAGAUGUCAUGACAUGGGGGUGUCGUGACGGGGAUGUCGUGACAUGGGGAGGUCAGGAGGUGGGGAUGUCGGGACAUGCAGAGGUCGUGAUAUGGGAAUAUUGCGACGGGGAUGUCGUGACAUGGGGGCGACGUUAUGGGGGGAUGUCGUGACAUGGGGAUGUCGGGACAUUGGGGAUGUCAUGACAAAGAUGUCAGGACAUGCGGAUGUCGUGACAAGGGAUUGCUGUGACAGGGGGAUGUCGUGACAUGGAGAUGUAGGGAGGUGGGGAUGUCGGGAUAUGGGCAUGUCGUGACGUGGGGACAGUGUGACAUGGGGAUGUCGUGACAUGCAGAGGUCGUGAUAUGGGGAUGUCACGACGUGGGGAUGUCUUGACAUGGGGACAGUGUGACAGUGGGAUGUCAUGACGUGGAAAUAUCGUGACAUGGGGGAAGUGUGACAUGGGGAUGUCAUGAUAUGGGGAUGUCGUGACAUGGAAAUAACGUGACGCAGAGGUGUUGUGACAUGGGGACAGUUUGACAUAGGGAUGUCGUGACGUGGAAAUAUUGUGACAUGGGCACAGUGUGGCAUGGGGACAGGGGGACAUGGGGAUGUCGUGACAUGGGGAUGAUGUCAUAUGGAGAUGUCGUGACGUGGGGACAGUGUGACAUGGGGAUGUCGUGACGUGAGAAUGUUGUGACAUGGGGAUAUCGUGACAUGGGGAUGCAGUGACAUGGGGACAGCCUACUAUGGGGGUGUCGUGACAUGGGGAUGUCGUGAUAUGGGGACAGUGUGAUAUGGGGAUGUCAUGACAUGGGGACAGCGUGACAUGGGGAUGAUGUGACGUGGGGAUGUCGCGAUAUGGGGAUGUCGUGACAUGGGGACAGCGUGACGUGGGGAUGUCGUGAUAUGCGGACAGUGUGACAUGAGGAUGUCGUGACAAAAGAAUGUCGUGACACGGGGAUGUUGUGACAUGGGGACAACGUGACGUGGGGAUGUUCUGAUAUGGGGAUGUCACGAUAUGGAGAUGUCGUGACAUGGGGAUAUCGUGACAUGGGGUUGAUGUGACAUGGGGAUGUUGUGAUGGGAUAUCGUGACAUGGGGAUGUCGGGAGAUGGGGAUGUUCUGAUAUGGGGAUGUCGCGAUAUGGGGAUGUCGUGACAUAGGGACAGCGUGACGUGGGGAUGCCGUGAUAUGCAGACAGUGUGACAUGGGGAUGUCGUGACAAAAGCAUGUCGUGACAUGGGGAUGUUGUGACAUGGGGACAGCGUGACGUGGGGAUGCCAUGACAUGGGGACAGUGUGACAUGGGGAUAUCGUGACAUGGGGAUGUCAUGAUAUGGGGAUGUCGUGACAUGGGGAUGAGGGUGGCAUGGGGAUAUGGUGACGUGGGGAUGUCGUGACAUAGGGACAGUGUGACAUAGGGGUAUCGUGAUAUGGGGAUGUCGUGACAUGGGGAUGUUGUGACCUGGGGAUGAUGUCAUAUGGGGAUGUCGUGACAUGGGGACAGCGUGAUAUGGGGAUGUCGUGACAUGGGGAUGAUAUCGUGACAUGGGGAAAGUCGGACACAGGGACUGUGUGAUGGGGAUGUAGUGACAUGGGGAUGUUCUGAUAUGGGGAUGUCACGAUAUGGGGAUGUCGUGACAUGGGGAUAUCGUGACAUGGGGGUGAUGUGACAUGGGGAUGUUGUGAUGGGAUAUCGUGACAUGGGGAUGUCGGGAGAUGGGGAUGUUCUGAUAUGGGGAUGUCGCAAUAUGGGGAUGUCGUGACAUAGGGACAGUGUGACAUGGGGAUGUCGUGACAAAAGCAUGUCGUGACAUGGGGAUGUUGUGACAUGGGGACAGCGUGACGUGGGGAUGCCAUGACAUGGGGACAGUGUGACAUGGGGAUAUCGUGACAUGGGGAUGUCAUGAUAUGGGGAUGUCGUGACAUGGGGAUGAGGGUGGCAUGGGGAUAUGGUGACGUGGGGAUGUCGUGACAUAGGGACAGUGUGACAUGGCAAUGUCGUGACCUGGGGAUGUCGUGACAUGGGGAUAUCAUUAAAUGGGGAUGUCGUGACAUGAGGAUGUUGUGAUAUGGGGUUAUCAGGACACGGGGAUGUUGUGGUAUGGGGAUGUCGUGACAUGGGGAUGUCGUGACAUGCGGACAGUGUGACAUGGGGAUGUCGUGACAUGGGGAUAUCAUCACAAGGGGACAGUGUGACAUGGAGAUAUCGUGAUAUGGAGAUGUUGUGACAUGGGGAUGUCGUGACAUGGGGACAGUGUGACGUGGGGAUAUCAUCACAAGGGGACAGUGUGACGUGGGGAUGUCGUGACGUGGAGAUAUCGUGAUAUGGGGAUAUCGUGACAUGGGGAUGUUUUGAUAUGGGGAUGUCACGACAUGGGGACAGCGUGACGUGGGGAUGUCCUGACAUGAGAAUGGCGUGACAUGGGGAUGUCGUGACAUGGGGAUGAGGGUGACAUGGUGAUAUCGUGACGUGGGGAUGUCGUGACAUACAUGGGGAUGUCGUGUCCAGGAGAUCUCGUGACAUGGGGAUACUGUGACACGGUGAUGUCGUGUCAUGGGGGUGUCACGAUAUGGGGACAUUGUGACAUGGGAAUGUCGCGACAUGGGGAUAUCGUGUCAUGGGGAUGCCAUGUCAUGGAGAUGUCGCGACAUGGGGAUGUCGCGAUGUGGGGACGUCGCGAUGUGGGGACGUCGUGACACGGGGACAGCGUGCCGUGGGGAUGCCGUAACACGAGAAUGUCAUGACGUGGGGAUAUCGUGGCAUCGAUAUGUCACGACAUGGGGAUAUCGUGAGGUGGGGAUGGCGUAAGAUCGCGAUGUCGUGACAUGGGGAUAUCGUGAUAUGCAGAUUCCGUGACAUGGGGAUAUCGUGACAUGGGGACAGUGUGACAUGGGGAUGUCGCGACAUGAGGAUGCUGUGAGGUGGGGAUGUCGUGACACGGGGAUGAGGGUGACAUGGUGAUAUCGUGACAUGGGGACAUUGUGACAUGUCGAUGUCGUGACGUGGGGAUAUCAUGAUAUGGGGAAAGUGUGACUUGGGGAUGUCGCGUCAUGAGGAUGUCGCUAUAUGGGGAUGUCGUGACAUGGGGACAGUGGGACAUGGUGAUAUCAUGACAUGGGGAUGUCGUGACAUGGGGAUACUGUGACGUGGGGACAGUGUGACGUGGGGAUGUCGAGACAUGAGGAUGUCACAAUAUGGGGAUGUCGUGACAUGGGGACAGUGUGACGUGGGGAUGUCGUGACAUGGGGAUGUCAUGAUAUGGGGAUGUUGUGAUAUGGGGACAAUGUGACAUGGGGACAUUGUGAUGUGGGGAUGUCGUGACAUGGGGACAGUGUGACAUGGUGAUAUCGUGACAUGGGGAUGUCGUGUCAUGGGGAUAUCAUGAUAUGGGGGCAGUGUGACAUGGGGAUGUCAUGACAUGAGGAUGUCGUAAUAUGGGGAUGUUGUGACAUGGGGACACUGUGACAUGGGGAUGUCGUGACAUGGGGAUGUUGUGACGUGAUAUCGUGACAUGGGGACGUUGUGACAUGAGGAUGUCGCAAUAUGGGGAUGUCGUGACAUGGGGACAGUGUGACAUGGGGAUGUCGUGACGUGGGGAUAUCACGAUAUGGGGACAGUGUGACUUGGGGAUGUCGUGACAUGGGGAUGUCAUGAUAUGGGGAUGUUGUGAUAUGGGGACAAUGUGACAUGGUGAUAUCGUGACAUGGGGAUGUCGUGACAUGGGGACGUUGUGAAAAGGGGAUGUCGUGACGUGGGGAUGAGGGUGACAUGGUGAUAUCGUGACAUGGGGACGUUGUGACAUGUUGAUGUCGUGACGUGGGGAUAUCAUGAUAUGGGGACGUUGUGACAUGGUGAUAUCGUGACAUGGGGAUAUCAUGAUAUGGGGACAGUGUGAUGUGGGGAUGUCGUGAUAUGGGGACGUUGUGACAUGGGGAUGUCGUGACAUGGGGACAGUGGGACAUGGUGAUAUCGUGACAUGGGGAUGUCGUGACAUGGGGAUUCUGUGACAUAGGGACAGUGUGACGUGGGGAUGUCGUGACAUGGGGAUGUUGUGAUAUGGGGACAAUGUGACAUGGUGAUAUCGUGACAUGGGGAUGUCGUGUCAUGGGGAUGUCGUGACAUGGGGAUGAGGGUGACAUGGUGAUAUCGUGACAUGGGGACGUUGUGACAUGGGGAUGUCGUGACAUGGGGACAGUGUGACAUGGUGAUAUCGUGACAUGGGGAUACUGUGACGUGGGGACAGUGACGUGGGGAUGUCGUGACAUGGGGAUGUCAUGAUAUGGGGAUGUUGUGAUAUGGGGACAAUGUGACAUGGUGAUAUCGUGACAUGGGGAUGUCAUGACAUGGGGACAGUGUGAUGUGGGGAUGUCGUGACAUGGGGAUGUCGUGACAUGGGGAUGAGGGUGACAUGGUGAUAUCGUGACAUGGGGACAUUGUGACAUGUCGAUGUCGUGACGUGGGGAUAUCAUGAUAUGGGGACAGUGUGACAUGGGGAUGUCGCGACAUGAUGAUGUCGCAAUAUGGGGAUGUCGUGACAUGGGGACAGUGGGACAUGGUGAUAUCGUGACAUGGGGACGUUGUGACAUGGGGAUGUCGUAACAUGGGGAUGUUGUGACAUGGGGACAGUGUGACAUGGGGAUGUCGUGACGUGGGGAUAUCACGAUAUGGGGACAGUGUGACUUGGGGAUGUCGUGACAUGGGGAUGUCAUGAUAUGGGGAUGUUGUGAUAUGGGGACAAUGUGACAUGGUGAUAUCGUGACAUGGGGAUGUCAUGACAUGGGGACAGUGUGAUGUGGGGAUGUCGUGACAUGGGGAUGUCGUGACAUGGGGAUGAGGGUGACAUGGUGAUAUCGUGACAUGGGGACGUUGUGACAUGGCGAUGUCGUGACAUGGGGAUAUCAUGAUAUGGGGACAGUGUGACAUGGGGAUGUCGCGACAUGAGGAUGUCGCUAUAUGGGGAUGUCGUGACAUGGGGACAGUGUGAUGUGGGGAUGUCGUGACAUGGGGACGUUGUGAAAAGGGGAUGUCGUGACAUGGGGAUGAGGGUGACAUGGGGACAGCGUGACUUGGGGACAUUGUGACAUGGGGAUGUCGUGACGUGGGGAUAUCAUGAUAUGGGGACAGUGUGACAUGGUGAUGUCGUGACAUGGGGAUAUCAUGAUAUGGGGACAGUGUGACAUGGGGAUGUCGCGACAUGAGGUUGUCGUAAUAUGGGGAUGUCGUGACAUGGGGACAUUGUGAUGCGGGGAUGUCGUGACAUGGGGACAAUGUGACAUGGUGAUAUCGUGACAUGGGGAUGUCGUGACAUGGGGAAGUUGUGAAAAGGGGAUGUCGUGACGUGGGGAUGAGGGUGACAUGGUGAUAUCUUGACAUGGGGACAUUGUGACAUGGGGAUGUCGUGACAUGGGGAUGAUAUGACAUGGGGAUAUUAUGACAUGGGGAUGUCACGACAUGGGGACUGUGUGACGUGGGGAUGUCGUGACAUGGGGACACUGUGACAUGGGGAUGUUGAAACAUGAUGGGGAUGUCGUGAUAUGGGGAUGUCGUGACAUGGGGACAGUCUGGCAGUGGGCUGUCGUGACAUGGGGACGGUGUGACAAUGAGAUGUCGUGACAUGGGGACGUUGUGAUAUGGGGAUGUCGUGAUAUGGGGAUGUCGUGACAUGGGGAUGUCAUGAUAUGGGGACAGUGUGACAUGGGGAUGUCGUGACAUGGGGAUGUGACAUGGGGAUGUCAUGACAUAGGAAAGUCACGACAUGGGGGCAGCGGAUCAUGGGGAUGUCGUGACAUGGGGACAGUGUGACAUGGGGAUAUCAUCACAAGGGGACAGUGUGACAUGGAGAUAUCGUGAUAGGGAGAUGUUGUGACAUGGGGAUGUCGUGACAUGGGGAUAUCGAGACAGCGAGAUGUCAUGUCAUGGGGAUAUCGUGACAUGGGGAUGUUUUGAUAUGGGGAUGUCACGACAUGGGGAUGUCGUGACAUGGGGACAGCGUGACGUGGGGAUGUCCUGACAUGAGGAUGUCGUGACAUGGGGCUGACGUGACAUGGGGAUAUCGUGACAUGGGGAUGUCGUGACCUCGUGAUGUCGUGACAUAGGAAAGUCGUGACAUGGGGGCAGCGGAUCAUGGGGAUGUCGUGACAUGGGGACAGCGUGACAUGGGGAUGUCGUGACAUGGGGAUGUGGUGACAUGGGGAUGUCGUGACAUAGGAAUGUCGUGACGUGGGGGCAGCAGAUCAUGGGGAUGUUGUGACAUGGGGACAGCGUGACAUGGGGAUGUCGUGACAUGGGGAUAUUAUGACAUGGGGAUGUCACGACAUGGGGACAGUGUGACGUGGGGAUGUUGAAACGCGAUGGGGAUGUCGUGAUAUGGGGAUGUCGUGACAUGGGGACAGUCUGGCAGUGGGCUGUCGUGACAUGGGGACGGUGUGACAAUGAGAUGUCGUGACAUGGGGACGUUGUGAUAUGGGGACGGUGUGACAUGGGGAUGUCGUGACAUGGGGAUGUCGUGAUAUGGGGAUGUCGUGACAUGGGGACGGUGUGACAUGGGGAUGUCGUGACAUGGGGAUGAUAUGACGUGGGGAUAUUAUGACAUGGGGAUGUCGUGACAUGGGACAGUCUGACAGUGGGAUGUCGCGACAUGGGGAUGUGACAUGGGGAUGUGGAGACAUGGGGAUGUCGUGACAUGGGGACAGUGUGACAUGAGGAUGUCGUGACAUGGGGAUGUCGUGACAUGGGCACAGUGCGACAUGGGGAUGUCCCGAUAUGGGGAUGUCAUGACAUGGGGAUGAUAUGACAUGGGGAUGUCGUGACAUGGGGACAUUGUGACAAUGUGAUGUCGUGACAUGGGGACAGUGUGACAUGGGGAUGUCGUGACAUAGGGACAGUGUGACAUGGAGAUAUGGUGACAUGGGGAUGUCGCGACAUGGGGAUGUCGUGACAUGGGGACAGUGUGACAUGGAGAUGUCACAACAUGGGGUCAGUAUGACAUGGGGAUGUCGUGACAUGGGGAUGUCACGUCAUGGGGAUGUCACGACAUGGGGUCAGCGUGACAUGGGGAUGUCGCGACAUGGGGACAGUGUGACGUGGGGAUGUCGUGACAUGGGGACCUCUCCAUUUGGGGACGUGGAUUUGGGGCCAUCAGUGUGAUUUGGGGUCAUCUCUACGUGGCGACAUUCGCAUUUGGGGUCGUUGGGAUUUGGGGCCAUCAUUGGGAUUUGGGGGCAUAGAUUUGGGGUCACCCCUAUUUGGGGUCACCCCUAUUUGGGGUCGUUGUGAUUUGGGGCCAUCAUUGGGAUUUGAGGUCGUCUCUCUUUGGGGCCAUCCUUGGGAUUUGGGGUCGUCUCUCUUUAGGGCCAUCAUUGGGAUUUGGGGCCAUCAUUGGGAUUUGGGGACAUCUCUAUUUGGGGACAUUGAUUUGGGGUCAUCCCCUUUUGGGGCCAU